rnacentral:lncRNA from 1 species
CAGACUGUGCCACCCUCCUCCCCGGAAGAGCAGAAGAAAGAAACUCAGAUUUCUUUUUCUGUAUGAUCCAGCCAAGGGAUACAGGAUAUAUUUUUCAAAGAACGAGGGAAGCCAAGUCCUCUUCUUUCAAGUUCUGUGGGCCUCUUCAGAUGCACUGUUUACAUGGAGUUCGUUUGAAGCUCUUUGGAGAGCGACAGUUCAUACAGUCAUUCACUGAGCAACGUUAGGGAGCAAAAGGUAAAGAGAAAGUGUAACCUGUAUGAUUUAAGUGGCCGACAGCUAAUUUAGGGUGUGCUCUGGCCUCGUGAGUGUCUGGAGCCUGAUUUUUGACAUUUGUGAAAAUGGACCAUCUGCUGUGACUGUCCCAAGGGUGAUAGCACCAGGCUUGGGCUGGAGCACCUGAGACUUUUGGUGCCACUUCAGUCUUCAGGCUUGGAGAGAGUCUGCUUUCAUGAUUAGAGACAGAUGACACCCUGGCCUUAGUUCUGAGAGCGCAGGAUACCUUCCAGAUAUUAGCAAUUGAGAUUUUUAAUGGCAUCCACAUUGGGAUGUGGGCGGGGUAGAAGGUGAACAAUUUAGGCACACACUCGUAAGUGUCUCCUUCUCCAGUUCACCGGGACUUUGCUAUGGCACAAGAUGGCUUUGUUUUGGACCCUGUACAAGUUGGUUAAAUUACCAGAUACCUGUGAAGCAUCUCACUAGAGCAUGAUCUCACCAACACAGUGAGACCCCAAGACCUGAGUCAGAGAGAUGCUCAAUAUCCAAUUUGUUUCUCUUUUGUGCUAGCCAUUUGAUAGUAGUUGGGACCUCAGAGCCGCCAAGUGGAACUUUCCCACACCCAACCCAGACUACCAAGAGGAUAUUGACUUGGAGUGAUUUCUAGAUCCAGAGUUCUAUUUUUCCUUCCAACAUAAAAAUCUUCAUAGAAGCCAAAAAUCUUUAAGAAAAGAGCAGCUCUUAGUGUGGGGCCCGUCUCAGCCUCUACCUUGUACCCAGUAAAUGCAAAGGGCUGUGGAAAUUGCACACAAUUCACAGUGUUCAGAGGAUGAGUGAAUGUUUUACCAUCUCAAAGAGGAGAUUAUGGGGUUCCACAGGAAAUAAGGUCCAGUGGCUAGCAAUGCCUCAGAAGUCAAGAGUUUUGGGGUUUAUGUUUUUUAAUAAUGGUAGCAAAGACUUAUAGGUAAUGCUGGGUAUUUAAUUUAAAAAAUCUAUAAAUAUUUAUGGAAUAAAACUUCUUUCCAGGUGCAGUUUUGGGCUCUAAGACUUCAGAGAGAAAAAGUCAUGGUUCCUGCUCUUGGGAGGCUCUCAUUGUGUCUGGGGGAGCAGGCAGGCACCCAACAGCCUGAAUCAAACUCCAUGUAGCCAAAUUUCUACAUCAUUACAAUGCUUAGCAUGUAGGAACCCAAUAAAUGUUUGUUGAAUGAAUGGAUCUGUUAAAAAGGGAGUGUCACGCUUUCUCUCUUUCUAAGGAGUUAUUGUGUGAAUUAGAGGGUUAACAUUUAUAACACCUUUUAUGCCCCUACAUGCUAUAUAAGUACAAGUUAUUAAAUAUCAUAAUAAACUAGGGUCCUAGGCAGUCAAUUACAUUUUCUUCUGAAGUUAGUGACAUUUAGAUUCUUUUGUUGGGCAGAUGGUGUAAUAUUGCACCUGUUGGAAGAGUAGGCAUUUUGGGAAGGGACCUUAAUUCAGAACUAUUUAUAAUAUAGCAAAGCUCUGGCUUCUUAAUAAAUGUAUUUGUAUUGUUUCUCAAGGAGGUAACAUAGCUGAACAGUCCGACUCUUUGAAUUGGAACUUCUGAAAUUGGAAGACCAUUAUUUCUUAAAACUCUAUUUACUCUACAUUUUCUCUUCACUUUCUUCACUUCUGAUUUUCUUUUGCACUCUCUGGAUUGGCUUUUAAUACCCAAUUUGUUUCCAGCCUUCUCUCUCCUCCACAUGUCUCUCUGCUCCUCAUUCCUCUCUCUUCGCUGUCUCCCUCCAUCUUCCUUCCUUUCCCUCUCCUGCCAAGACAUUCCAUUUCUCUGGAAUGCCCCUCAAGCCACUUUCGAGUCCAACUAAACUAUGGUCUGUUGGGAAGUCCAGAGCUGCUGUUUCUGCUUGGAUGUCUAAGCUUUCCAUAAUCCACCCACCUCCUAGUCUACUUCUGGGCAAGAAACACUGCAGCGGCCAGGCCGACUUCAUCAUUGCUCUGCAAAUACCAUGUUUGUUGGGCCUUUGCUCUUGUUAAUAUCUCAUCUGGAAGCUGUCUUCUUCUGUUACACCUUUCUAAAGUCCAUGUAUCAAUUGACUGUCUGCUCUUUGAAAUUGCUCUUAUUUACUUCCUUGAUCUUUACCUCUUCUAAGCUCCCAGUGCCCACAGUUUAGCAACCCCUUUUGUUGCAUCUCAUAAUUUAGUAGCUUCUCAUAUAGGCCCCAGGCUUCUUCUAUCUAGAAGCUACAGUGUUCCUUAUUAUGUGCCAGGCUCUGAUUAAGGUGCAUUGCAUUAUUAUUUCAUUUAAUCUCCAUGACAACCCUAUGAGGUAGACAUUUUUGUCAUUUCCAUUUUACAGAUCAGGAAACUAAGGCCCAGAGAAUAUGACUGACUUGCCCAAGGUCAUAAAGUUAGUAAGAGCUAGAGCUAGGUUCUAUGGAAGUCACUAUUUGCUACCACCCAGAUCCCCCUUCAGGAUUGAAGCCUUACUCCUCCAGCUGCUGAGAGUACCAUUGGCUGACAGCCCUCAGCUGUCUCCCUCUCUGCUCAUUGCCCUCUAUGUUUUGCAGGCUUAGAGGUCUUGGCUUCCAAAGGGAGAAAGCUUCCACCAGGGGACACAGAAGGGUCCCAUUGAACUCUAAGCUAUGGUUACUGGUGGGGCACUUCAGAUUCCAUGUGCUGAGGAACCACCCUCUUAGCAGCACUAUUUGAUCCUGAUCAAGAAGAGGAGGGCUACUCUUACACAAUGGAAGCAGGAAGACCUAUUUUUACCACCCAGGCCUUGGAAAGUGUUCCAGGAAUGGACUUUCUGCAGUAUGAUGACCUGCAAAAGCAGCCCUUCCAUUUACAUUUCAAACUCCAAGUCAGCCGUGUCAAAGUUUGAACCAGAACUGUGGAGGAUAAUGGGUCAGAUGCAAUUAGCAGCCCAGAGAACCACACGUUGCAGUCUGAUUUAUUUUUUUGCCCAUCAGAUUCCAAGAAUCCUAGUGCUUAAAAGCAACUAAACAAUCGCUCUAUUGUACUGAAAUAAAGCCCGGUUAAUUCAGAAAUCAAUUGCACCACCAGGUGGGGCACACUCUGGCCCCAAACAGAUGGGGUUGAAAACUCCCCUCAAAAUGCAGUCUUGUUAAAUUAAAAACUUGAUCCAGGAGUGGAACAAAUAGGGAGCCAUGAAUGGAAUGGAGUCAGGUCCACUCAGGCGGAUUCUUUCUUCUCCCACUCCUUUUCCUUUAAAAAAGAAAAAUUCCCCAUUUCACUUUCAUCAGUGUUAGCAUCUAUGCAGAAACGCAGCCAUCCACCCUUUGCAGUUGAAUGUGUUACUUUAAUUAGUCUGAAAAUUAAAGGGCAACUCCGGGCCAAUGUGAAUGAUUAUGAAAAUACAUGUGCAUCCCAUGCAAUCUUCUCAUUUAAUUAAUAGUCUUGUAAACUAUAUGGCUCACUUUAAGUCAGUCAAGAGGUAUAACAACUCCAUUUUAAAUAUCCACUUAAUACUUAACAGGAUGUGAGGAACACACUAUAGCAUACGGUCCCUUCUCAAGUUUCACUGUCUGAAAUUUUUCAAAGCUGACCCAAGUCAACCUGAAAAAUGUUUAACACCCUGGGCUUGAACACAAGAAACUCUGUGAUGAACAGACAUUCAAUUACAUUUUUUAAAAGUGAGAAGCAUUUUUGUAAAAUAGCGACUCUGGAAACUAAUUGGCAGCCGCAAAACUUGUGAGCAAAGGCCAAAUCUUGUGGGGAACUUUUACUACAGUAACACGACUCAAAGAAAAUGUGAAUAAAAGGCAUCUUUGUUUCCCAGUCAAAUUAGCUGAUUAAGAAAUAAAACAUCUUAACAUGUUUUUAA